rnacentral:rRNA from 1 species
UACGAAGGGGGCUAGCGUUGUUCGGAAUCACUGGGCGUAAAGGGCGCGUAGGCGGCUGUUCAAGUCGGGGGUGAAAGCCUGUGGCUCAACCACAGAAUUGCCUUCGAUACUGGACGGCUGGAGACCGGAAGAGGUCAGUGGAACUGCGAGUGUAGAGGUGAAAUUCGUAGAUAUUCGCAAGAACACCAGUGGCGAAGGCGGCUGACUGGUCCGGUUCUGACGCUGAGGCGGCGAAAAGCGUGGGGAGCAAACAGG